AUGGUGGAUGGUAAUAGGUCCUUUCAUGUUUGUACGUGGAGGAUAGUUGCAUGUCUUUAUCUCCGAAUCAUUUAAGUCAUCAACCAUUCUCUUUUUCUCAUUCUACCAUGAAUUGCUGAUUGGGUUUGCAUGUCUUUAUCUCCAUAGCUCUCAUCCUUGGAGAUGGACUCUAUAACUUCAUCAAAGUACUGUCUUUCACCAUCAGAAGCUUCCAUGGUAGAUUGAAAUGGAAGGACCCUCAGAACAGGCCCUUGUUUACAUGUUACCACAUUCACGCGCAUGUUCGAUGAUAGCAAAAGGGAUGGGUAGUUCAAUUGCAAGAAGAGAAUCAUUGCAUGUGAGUUGUCUGCGUUAUAAAACACAACUUUCUUGAUUGUAAUCUUGUCACCUACCCUAUUGAAUAAUGACAACUGUUCAAGGUCUCCAUUAAAUAUGAACCAUUGGUUGUAAC